rnacentral:rRNA from 1 species
CCUACGGGAGGCUGCAGUGAGGAAUAUUGGUCAAUGGACGAGAGUCUGAACCAGCCAAGUAGCGUGAAGGAUGACUGCCCUAUGGGUUGUAAACUUCUUUCAUAAAGGCAUAAAAUGAGGCACGUGUGCCUUUUUGCAUGUACUUUAUGAAUAAGGAUCGGCUAACUCCGUGCCAGCAGCCGCGGUAAUACGGAGGAUCCGAGCGUUAUCCGGAUUUAUUGGGUUUAAAGGGAGCGUAGAUGGGUUGUUAAGUCAGUUGUGAAAGUUUGCGGCUCAACCGUAAAAUUGCAAUUGAUACUGGCAGUCGUGAGUACAGUUGAGGUAGGCGGAAUUCGUGGUGUAGCGGUGAAAUGCUUAGAUAUCACGAAGAACCCCGAUUGCGAAGGCAGCUUACUAAACUGUGACUGACAUUGAUGCUCGAAAGUGUGGGUAUCAAACAGGAUUAGAUACCCUUGUAGUC